CUUCGACAAUUUUUAUCUGAUCGCAACCAAAUUUUCAAGAAUCACAAUUACUAUUGUGUAUUAUUGUAUUAUUAUAUACACAAAAAAUUGUCUCUAGCUUUAAAAUUAAGCUUGUUGUUCCAUUUUGUUUAAUUUCCGGAGGCGGAAGUGGGCGUGUUUCAUACGGAUCGUCUCGGCUGUUGUAUAGCGGGUAUAAAUAUAGAAGUUAGCCUCUCUUUCACCACGAAGCGAUGAGAGACUUGAGUACUACCAAGGUACCUUCGAUUUAUUCGUCGGUCUGUAGAGUCUUCAGGAUUUGCGGAAAGCUGUGACAAGACCUUCCGAAGAUUCCCAAGAGGUUUUUCAAUGGAAACCCUGAUAAAUUAAAUUUUAAACAGAGAAUGUGGAAAGAGUCCCACAUUCGUCUGUCAAAAAAUAAUGCGAAAAUAAACUCCAAAGAAAAUGCAAGUAAAUAAAUUGAAUGUAUGUAACACGCAAAAGGACCCCAGCUUAUAAAUUCUUAAUCAGCGUCAACAGUCGUGACCGUAUACGGAAGCUAGAAUCUAGUUUAGAAGUGUUGAUUAUUGCUCUUAUAGUUCCUGAGAUAUAGCCAUUCAUAUGGACAGACGAUCUUAUUUAUAUCAACCAAUAUAAAGAAUACAUAUACGCC